rnacentral:rRNA from 1 species
AUUGAACGCUGGCGGCAGGCCUAACACAUGCAAGUCGAACGGUAACAGGAAACAGCUUGCUGUUCCGCUGACGAGUGGCGGACGGGUGAGUAAUGUCUGGGAAACUGCCUGAUGGAGGGGGAUAACUACUGGAAACGGUAGCUAAUACCGCAUAACGUCGCAAGACCAAAGAGGGGGACCUUCGGGCCUCUUGCCAUCGGAUGUGCCCAGAUGGGAUUAGCUAGUAGGUGGGGUAACGGCUCACCUAGGCGACGAUCCCUAGCUGGUCUGAGAGGAUGACCAGCCACACUGGAACUGAGACACGGUCCAGACUCCUACGGGAGACAGCAGUGGGGAAUAUUGCACAAUGGGCGCAAGCCUGAUGCAGCCAUGUUGCGUGUAUGAAGAAGGCCUUCGGGUUGUAAAGUACUUUCAGCGGGGAGGAAGGGAGUAAAGUUAAUACCUUUGCUCAUUGACGUUACCCGCAGAAGAAGCACCGGCUAACUCCGUGCCAGCCGCCGCGGUAA